rnacentral:rRNA from 1 species
UGAAUACGAGACGCUAAGGCGUCGAAGUAGUGUAUGUCAUACUUCCAAGAAAAGCUUGCACUGUCAUAGAUAAAAAACGCCUGUACCAUAACCGACACAGGUGGGUAGGUAGAGUAUACUAAGGGGCGCGAGAUAACUCUCUCUAAGGAACUCGGCAAAAUAACUCCGUAACUUCGGGAGAAGGAGUGCCUUAUUCGUAAGGUUGCAAUAACAAGACCCAAGCAACUGUUUAUCAAAAACACAGGUCUCCGCUAAGUCGUAAGACGAUGUAUGGGGGCUGACGCCUGCCCAGUGCCAGAAGGUUAAAGAAGUUGGUUAGCAAUUGCGAAGCUGAUAACUGAAGCCCUGGUGAACGGCGGCCGUAACCAUAACGGUCCUAAGGUAGCGAAAUUCCUUGUCGGGUAAGUUCCGACCCGCACGAAAGGCGUAAUGAUUUGGAUACUGUCUCGGAGAGGGGCUCGGUGAAAUAGACUUGUCUGUGAAGAUGCGGACUACCUGCACCAGGACAGAAAGACCCUAUGAAGCUUUACUGUAACUUGAAAUUGAAAUUGGACUUUAUUCGCGCAGUAUAGGUGGGAGGCGUUGAUUAUAAUCUUGUGGGAUUAUUGGAGCCAUCAGUGAGAUACCACUCUUGUAAUGUUAGAUUUCUAACUUUGAAUCAUUAUCUGGUCAAAGAACAGUUUCAGGCGGGCAGUUUGACUGGGGCGGUCGCCUCCUAAACGGUAACGGAGGCGUACAAAGGUUUCCUCUGAACGGUUAGAAAUCGUAUCUAGAGUGUAAAGGCAUAAGGAAGCUUGACUGUGAGACCUACAAGUCGAGCAGGGACGAAAGUCGGUCUUAGUGAUCUGACGGUACUGAGUGGAAAGGCCGUCACUCAACGGAUAAAAGUUACUCUAGGGAUAACAGGCUGAUCUCCCCCAAGAGUUCACAUCGACGGGGAGGUUUGGCACCUCGAUGUCGGCUCAUCGCAUCCUGGGGCGGUAGUACGUCCCAAGGGUUGGGCUGUUCGCCCAUGAAAGCGGUACGCGAGCAGGGUUCAGAACGUCGUGAGACAGUUCGGUCCAUAUCCGGUGUAGGCGUUAGAAUAUUGAGAGGAGCCUUCUUUAGUACGAGAGGACCGAGAAGGACAUACCUCUGGUGUACCAGUUAUCGUGCCAACGGUAAACGCUGGGUAGCUAUGUAUGGAGUGGAUAACCGCUGAAAGCAUCUAAGUGGGAAGCCCACCUCAAGAUAAGUAUUCUCACC